AUAUAUAUAACAGAAAUUGACUAUGGUUUAUCUUCAUAAACUUUCUACAUUGAUUUGCAAAUUAAGAUCAAAGAAAAUUGUGCUGAAAAUGUCACAAGAUAACUCUUAGGAUUAAAAGUGUAAGUUAAAAUAAUUAAAUAAUUAGAUAAUAUUUUUUAAAGAAAAUAUUUGAUUUAAAUAAAUGUUGAGUGUUUAAAUAGAUAAAUAGUAUUUUACUUUGUGUUCUUUACUUAGAAUUAUAAAAUAAUAUAAGAUAAUAUAAAAAAAUUAACUUAGUUUAGAUUAAAUAUAAAAAAGAUAAAAACUUGGUUUAUUAAUUUACAUAUUUAUUAGAGAUAUCUUUUAUCACUUACUAAUUUUAUAUAAAAAAUUAAUAUAUAAAGAAUGAUGCCAUUUUUUUUUAUUCAUUAUAAAUUUUUUUUUUUGAAUAUUAGGCAAGUAUUUAUAAAUCCAAAUAAGAAGAUAUAAUAUAAUUAAAUUUCUUUAUUAAUAAAGAUAUUUUAAAUUGAUUCAUUACAUAAAUUCUAUUUUAUAUUAAUUAACAAGUGUAUCAUCUUAUUUUAUAAGACCAAUAUGUUAAAGAAAUAAGCAUAGCAAAUAAGAAAAAUUCCAAAUUAGAUUAGUAAAGAACAACAUAUUAUAUAAAGUUAGAUCAACCACCUUUGAAGGAAACAAUGAUUAGAAUAUAUGGCAAACACAAUUUGCCGCAUCUUUGAUUUCUUCAACAUAUGAUAAUUGCUAUUCAUAGAACUUAUUUCUAAAAAAGGAGAUAAUAUGAUGGACAUACAUAUCUAGAUAAGAAAUAUUAAGUAAAAAAUAAAUGUAGGUAGAUUUGAUAUUAUCUUGUGGCAAAGCUUCUUAGAAGCUUCAUAGAGGCAUAUUUUAUUUUACACAUGUUUAUAAUUGUUUGAUAGGUUAGAAACUUGACCAACAAGUUAGCCAUGUAUCAUACAUUUGCAUAGCUUGUGGUAUUAGUUAAUAAUGUAAAGCAUAUGCAUAGCUUCUGGUAUUAGCUAAUAAUGUAAUGUAUAUACAAGAAACUUGUCUUGUAAGUUAAGACAUGUGUCUUAAAAAUUAGAUAUAUAUUAUAGGUUCUAUAGAAUGUUACCACGUAGCUUCUAAUAAAAUAAUAUAUAUGGAAGUAAAGGUGAAGCCUUCUUCU
rnacentral:lncRNA from 1 species